CGCGUUAGAAGAUAGAUGCUCCUCAGGGCAACAUGCGCCAGAUCGCAGGGGUAAUAACUAGAUGGAAACGACUGCUAAUACCGCAUACGCCCUACGGGGGAAAGGAGGGGACCUUUUGGCCUUUCGCGAUUGGAUGUACCUAGGUGGGAUUAGCUUGUUAGUGAGGUAAGAGCUCACCAAGGCGACGAUCCCUAGCUGUUCUGAGAGGAUGAUCAGCCACACUGGGACUGAGACACGGCCCAGACUCCUACGGGAGGCAGCAGUGGGGAAUAUUGCACAAUGGGCGAAAGCCUGAUGCAGCCAUGCCGCGUGUGUGAAGAAGGCCUUCGGGUUGUAAAGCACUUUCAGCGAGGAGGAAAGGUUAACGGUUAAUACCCGUUAGCUGUGACGUUACUCGCAGAAGAAGCACCGGCUAACUUCGUGCCAGCAGCCGCGGUAAUACGAGGGGUGCAAGCGUUAAUCGGAAUUACUGGGCGUAAAGCGUACGCAGGCGGUUUGUUAAGCGAGAUGUGAAAGCCCCGGGCUCAACCUGGGAACUGCAUUUCGAACUGGCAAACUAGAGUCUUGUAGAGGGGGGUAGAAUUUCAGGUGUAGCGGUGAAAUGCGUAGAGAUCUGAAGGAAUACCGGUGGCGAAGGCGGCCCCCUGGACAAAGACUGACGCUCAGGUACGAAAGCGUGGGGAGCAAACAGGAUUAGAUA
rnacentral:rRNA from 1 species